GGUGUUUCCUCCCUCACUAGUUUGCUAAGCGCAGGAACAAACUAGUGGCGCUUACCCAAUCUGGAGGUGCGUUUCAUAACUCACCAGCGUGGACCGGAGGCGGAUAUGGUUUCGCCUCUAGUGUGCUUAGACGGCGGCCCUGCAACCCGGCCCCAAGUAAGUGGAAGAAAAUGGAUUGACGGACAACAACCUCCCGUGGACUCAAAAGGUGAUUUUUAUUACAGCAAAUCCAUUCGAAUCUCAACAUCUUUCAAAGAGCAGGUUAAACAUACAAAAGCUCACUUAACAUGUUUUUUUUUGUUUUUUUUUUAUUAAAUAUGUAAAAAGCAGGUCAAGUUAUUCACAAAUAAAAUGCAAACAUGCAACACGAUUUUUUGUCGGGGAAUGCAUAAUGAGUGGGACAUAAAAAAAGAAAACAAAACAUUUACCAUUCAUUAAUUAUUGACAGUACAUGUUUACAUUCUUUUUCAUUUACACAAUAAUAUAUGACUAAAGCAUCGUGGUGCACUGCCCAGUUCAAUAUUAGUAAAUGCAAUAUUAAGAAAGGGUAUACAAUGUACUUACUGGAAUAUAGUGUAACAAAUUGCUCAGUGAACUGACAUCUCCCUAAGACCUGUGAUUAAAAAAAAAUAAAAAAAUAAAAAAAAUAUCCCAACAGUUCCAGCGGAGGUUUACAACUUAAAACUGCUGCUUCAUCAUAAGACUACUCCACAAUGUUUCUUCCUUCCCUAUGUUUACGGUUUAAAUCUCUAUCACUAAAGCCACCUUGUGUGGUGGGAACAAACGCUAAGCCGAGCACACUGAUUAUCUGAAAUCUUGUAAUUUGUAAUGACAGCUGUGACACAGUCAUACAGUUGGGAUUUAACUACAUUUUAUUAUCCUCCUUCACGAGGAUGCAAUUCAGAUCCUUGCACUAUUCCUAAGUCUUAAUAACAACAACAAUAAUAAAUACGGUGAGGGUCUAUGGACAGAUUGUCCAAUACGAAGUCAAAUGUCAGUGCAACAUAUGGAAGGAGGUUAAAUAAGAGCUACUACGAGCCCUUCCAGGGCUUUGCUUAUUGCAUUCUUAUGAUUAAUAUUGUUGAUAUGAAAAAAAAAAAAAAGAAAUAAAAAUAGCAGGGAGUCUAACACUUGCACUGACAGGUAGUGGUUACCUGUCUAAACUUCAGCAUUUCAUCACAUCUACUGCAGGAUUUGAAUUGACUUUGCGCCCACACAGUCCUCUGAUGGUCUGAGCUUGUCCGCUGGUGGAGGUCAUUGCCACAAACCCGCCACAGCAGUUCACCAAAAGUCACAAGAAACAUUGAACAGUGAGCAGAGGGGUACAAAAAAACCCCAAACAAAAACCUGUGAUGGUGCUUCUUUCAGGAGGCUUCUUCAUGUGCUCAGUUUCGGAGAAGAUGAAAAAUAAAAAUGAGGACAAAUGAAAAUCCUUUAACAGUUCUCACAUAGUCAAAAAAAUUAAAUUAAAAAAAUAAAAUAAAGAGAGAGUGGGGUGUAACUGCGGUGAAGGAUGAUGGCAGUCAGUAUUCAUCCUGCUCCUCCUGCUGAUCGUCUGGCACCUCCUCGUGGGCUUGCUGGUCCACUUCUUGUCCGUCGCCCUCAGCUAGCUCCCCUCGUUCCUAAAAAAGAAAAGAGAGAGUUGAGGCAAGCGCAUGUGACUGCACACAAACACUGAAUUAAAUCCACAUGAUUUCCUCAACAAAGAAUGAGCACGAUCCUGCUUGGAUCAAUCUAAAGGCCUGGACUGACCUGCUCAUCGGAGGCGUACAGGAUCUCCAUUAGCCGAUCGACAAACGGGGCGUUUUCCUCCCCCUGUUCCUGACAGAGCAGCUCCACCUCUCGCAGCUUGCUGAAGUAGUAGUCUCGCUCCUUCUCCACUCCUUCCAGUGCCAACUUUAGUGUGUUCACCUGCAAAAAUAAAUGUUCAAGCAUUUCAAAACACACCAACUCUGAACAGACUCACAACGUUAAAAGAUAAGCAGAGAAGAAACACAAAGCUGAUUAAAACUGAUUAAAACGACUCAAGAUAAACUGUUUAACUGAUACAAGUUGUCUUCAGUUACAUGUGAUUUGAGCACUAGAGCAGCUCUGAAUGAUUGAAUGCAAUCAUUAUAUCAGUAAAGGAUCUACCGAUCAGUUAAGUCUUUGUCUUCUAUUCACCAGUUUCUGCUUAACAAAUGUACAUAAAAAAUAAAAAUAAAAAAAAUAAAAAAUCAAAUGCUGCCUGGCAGCAUUUUCUGGCUUGUGGUCACUGCACAAGAGCUCCAAGCCCGCUUCUUCUUAGUUUAAUCCUUGGCUUGAAUCUGACAUGUACUGUACCAAAUUUAACGCAGCCAGCAACAUUUUGGAUCUCAGAGUGGAACAACUACACAAUAUCCACACAGCAUUUAGCAGCUUUGUAUGCACAGGGUUUUGUUUUUUGUUUUUUUUUAAACCAACCACAUACAGUGCCUUUAAAAUGCCUCAGUGCUAUUUUUAAUAUUUGGAAACAAGUUGAAUGUCUGCUAAGAUUUUAAAUCUCUAGUACUUUGAAUCUCCAAAUAUGACGCGUCAGGUGUAACAUUAAUCACAGCCUAUUUCUAUACCAGCUUUCUAAGGAACCAUUAGUCUAUCCACAGAGUGAGAAGUGGAUUUAGGUCUGACUCCUAAUUUGACACAGACUGUAUAUAAAAGAUAGAUGUAACUCCAGGUUUGAAAAGUGAAAUGUACAAGUGCCUUAAAUCUGCACCCUUUCUUACAGCCAGCAGGGGGCGACUUUGGCCAUGUUCCGCAAAGCAGGUUUAACAAACUCUGUUUGAGAUUUGAGUGCCACAGAAGUUGAUCACAGCUAUUAGUUAUUAUUGAAUCAUUUCUGAGUAUGUUCUCUCUCAGUCAAGCGUAUGUGUAGCAGAAGAAAAGCCAUCAUCAAUGGAGCUCCAAUACCAGGAUUCACCAUGGCAACGAGUAAAUGAAGAGACGAUCCUCCAUUUUAAUCCAGUGGACGGAGGAACACGAAUCAGUGUCAGUGAGGACCAUGCCAGGAAGCUAGAAAACAGCAAUUUUAUUCUGUCAUUCGCCCACACUGAUUACCAACCUGAUUCAGUGAGGGCCAACCAACCAAUUUUACAUUGGACCACAACCACGACCAAACAGUUAAAGCCUGGAGGGACAACAUGCAGACAACUGAAGAUAAAACUAUAUCUUAUCAAAGAGAAAAGACAGUUUACUUACCGACCUGUAAUAUUAGACCCAGUAAUACAAAUCUGGGCAAUUUGGAGUGAAAAAUGUGUCAAAACUCCUGCACUUAACGACUGUACUUCAACAUGAAAUGACUCGUCUUUCAAAUUUAGUUCCAUUCAAAAAUAUAUACAUAGUAAAUUCAGACUCAGUUUCACAUCAACUCCAACACGAUGCCAACUGUGACGGGCAGUUUUCCAUUAGUGCAACUGAUUAUGACACAUCAAAUAUAAUUCACAUUGAUUAGUGGUUGUGUGUCUCUGCAGCUUCAUGCAGGCUGAUUUACACAGUGAUCACCACAGUAACAUAUGGGAGAUUCAAUGCAGGGGAGCUGGCUGACAGCCUGACAGAGUCUUCAACCCUAUUUAUGCUCGCCGCAUUGGUCACUUCUCACACCGAUGUGCUGAUAUUGCACAGCUACGUCCAUUUCUACUCGUCACUGUGGCGCUUUUGUCUCUUUGCGAUCUUCUUCAGCUGCUGUAGAAAUCUUUCUCCAUGAGUUCUGUACCAUAUGGGAAUCCCUGCGCUCCUGCAUACAUGUGUCAUAUAUAUGCCCAUAUAGACAGCCUUGCCUCAAGCCUGUCAAUUUUUUUAAAUAGCUGAGGCUGCAAUAGCUCCAAAGCUACGUAAACUGAAAAGGUGCACGGCUGGCCGAAAAAAAUGCCAAAACAUGCCAUGCCUUACUGCAAGUGACAUCACUUCUGUCAUUUGGUGAGAGCAGUGAGCAUAAACUGGCCCUUAGAUAAACAUAGAAUAAAUUCUACAGUCUAUCAUUCUAUGAUGUUAAUAAAUUAGGAUCCAGUUAUUUGAGUCACAAUAACAUUGAGUAACAAUUUUAAAAAUGCUAGGUGACUUCCUACUUAGUUAUUGCAUUCAAAAGAUUUUCAGAAAACUUGACCUCUGACCUUGAGGUCACUGAGAUUCAAACUCAUCCAAGAUUUUAAAUAGAUACACCUGUGUUAUCACUUUCAAAAUCCUACAUUUCCUCAUUUUCAAGUUAUCACAUUCACAAAUGGAUGUCCAUGCCGCCACCCGUUACGGUAUUGUUAUCGCCCUACCAGCUGUUUACAGCUGAAAGGUUUAUAAAAAAUUAACAUUUUAAAAAAAAGCUCACAAUUGAGCUGUACACAGACAUACCUGCUCAGUAAGAUGUGUGACUUGUGCUUCCAGUUCUUUCUCUCCUUUGGCAGGAGUUGACACGGAUGUAGGGAUCUUUUUGGCGGACGAGGGUCUGGAUGUUGGCGUUGAAGACUUAGGAGUAGUAGAGCUCGACCUGGAUGCUCCUGCAGCGAAGAAAUAUUUAUGAAUAAAGGGUUGCUUGUCACUAUAUCUGAGUGUAAACUUGACAAAUCAGACCCAAUAAUCACAGGAGCUGAUAUAUGAGCAGGAAAAGUAACAGUCUAGCCAUUUGAUACCAUAUACAUCCAGUGCAAAGGUGUCAAAAAAAAUGUGCAGAUAACAGUAAACAUACAUGCAUAAUUUAUAACCUUCGUUUUGUUUUAUUCAUCAGUUGAAUCUUACCUGCGGUAGGAGAACUGGCUGCAUGGUGAGACUUCUUUGGCAGGUUGAAGAUUUGCUCACCGGGAUCAGGCGGGGGGAUGGCAUCCUGACCCUGCCUGGCUGCAACUGGGUCGUAAUCUUUGCCGUCGUAAUUGGCGUCAAAGAACUUCUUAAACCACUGGAUGAAAUCGAGAUUGUCCUGAAAUCUGCCUUUGACCAGUUUCUCCACAGGAAUAAUCUGAACAAAAAAAAGACUGUUAAAACCCCCGAACAGUAAAGCGAGGUGAAAAAAAAAAAAA